CUUACUUUUAUUGUGUGAAAUAAGCCUAAAUGAUUUUGGCUUUUUAUCACCGCCCCUUCUCUAUAAUUGGAUAUCUAUUUUUUUUGAUUAAAUCUUUAACACAGUGAACUGAAAUAGGGUUUUCUUUCUCAUUGGGUAAUUCUUUGGAUGCAUCAGCCAGACAGCCACCGAUUUCAGGAAUACAGUAACAACUGUAACUCUGAAGAAACACAUCUACGCUUUAGAUUUUGGAAUAAAGGUGGGAUUCUUUGCUGCAAAAAUGAUGUGAGUUGUGUUUGAUGAGCUAUGAGUUUCUCAACACUGCUUACUUUAAGGAAUCAAGAGAAUUACUCAAUGUUGUGAUAUGUGAAUAUCUCUAGCUUGGUAUAUCUGAGGCACCAAAGCUCGUAGGUUACGUAAGUGCUACCCUUCACAGCCUAUCAGCUGGAGUGUAUAGCACAAGGGAUCUCAUUGAUUCAAAUGUGCAACCAAUGCAGUACAAUGCUCCAUUGCUGUUGAUGUGUCAAAUGCGACACGACAUGCGAAAGGGUUACACUCGGAGGCGAAGCUAGCUUGGGGCACGUGUUGCACGAGCUAGGAUGCAAAUUUUUUUUACGUUUUUUUUUUUUUGUUUUUUUUUUUAAAGUUGGUGGUACCGGUGUUUUUGGGCUCGUCAUCCACUUCUAAUUCUACCACCAUGUUUUUUUUUUCCUAAAACUCUUAAGUUGCAGAUAGAGAUAGAUUUAGCCCACAAGAAAAAUGACUGUAGACGUGAAUUUUCAUCCUCGCCAUCAUCAACAGAAGCGUAAAACUGUCAUCGUCUUUUAAUGUUGUUAAUACGAUCAUCAAAUGUAUGCUAUGUUGUCCAACCGUUGUGUGA